rnacentral:rRNA from 1 species
UACGAAGGGUGCAAGCGUUACUCGGAAUUACUGGGCGUAAAGCGUGCGUAGGUGGUGAGUUAAGUCUGUCGUGAAAGCCCCGGGCUCAACCUGGGAAUGGCGAUGGAUACUGGCUCGCUAGAGUGCGGUAGAGGAGAGUGGAAUUCCCGGUGUAGCAGUGAAAUGCGUAGAGAUCGGGAGGAACACAGUGCGAAGGCGGCUACUGGACCAGCACUGACACUGAGGCACGAAAGCGUGGGGGAGCAAAC